rnacentral:rRNA from 1 species
UACGAAGGGGGCUAGCGUUGCUCGGAAUCACUGGGCGUAAAGCGCACGUAGGCGGCUUGUUAAGUCAGGGGUGAAAUCCUGGAGCUCAACUCCAGAACUGCCUUUGAUACUGACGAGCCUGAGUUCGGGAGAGGUGAGUGGAACUGCGAGUGUAGAGGUGAAAUUCGUAGAUAUUCGCAAGAACACCAGUGGCGAAGGCGGCUCACUGGCCCGAUACUGACGCUGAGGCACGAAAGCGUGGGGAGCAAACAGG